CAGACUGUCCCAACAUAAUCCGCUUUAUGAAACCUGUUCGGAUUCUUAGUUAUUAUUCAAAAUAGUCAUAUACUUAAUUUAUUGUGACAAUAUCAAAUGAAGUAAAUUCUUAUGCAUCAUCACUUAACAUGGCGCCUGAGGUUAAUGUGUAGAAUGCCACGAAGCGGAACAGUCGAAUUCAGGUGGUUGUCGAGCCCAAUGGGAGUGAUCAUGUCAGUUUUAUAGGGACUAGUUAUUCAGGUGAUGCUGCUGCUCCUCAGCUCUGUAUGCUCUUCGGCUUCUUCAUAAAGAGACGCACGCUCUUAACAUCCUCCCUAUUACUGCUAAUAAGGUGCACAUUUCCACUUUACUACAUGUUAUCAACAGUUUUUACUAGUCCUCUUUUACACCCUGCUCCCAAGUUUUUAUAAACGAGGAAAGCAAUUUAAGUAAUUUGCAUCCCUCUGUUUCCGCCCUCAAAAAACUAGGAUGCAGGGCGGUAGAGCAUGCACUGGAAUAGGUGUUGAUCAGCUAACAUGCCUUUAAACUGGUGACAGAUAUUCGGUUGGAGCCAAAGCUUGCAGAAUGGGAAGCUAAGACGUCUAGAUGCCAUGUAUUCGAAGAACCAAAAAGCUGUUUGUAGUAAUGGUAAGUUAUCAUUUAAUACGAAUAUAUUCUGUAACUUGAGGUUUUCUGAUACCUUGAAAACGCGUAGUACUCUAAAGAUUAUACAAAUGAAAGCAACAAUAACACCCAUAUUAACCAGCAAAUACACAAUGAGUAAUUGGAUAUUCUAAUAAUCGGAUAUUACUUGGAGAGUGAAUACACAUUUCCACAUGACUCCCCAUUAUUUAUCAUGGUUUCAUAAUAACCUCUAAGUUUAUUGUAUAUGUGAUGAAUCAAACAAUAAGAUAGCUGCUGCGUCAUUCACCAAUGUCGGAUUUACCCACCUCACUAGAACUAAACUUCUUGAUUGUUCUGUUUCACCCGUCAACUAGUUGCUUCCUGAAAGCACAAACAGCAGCCAAACAGACAAUUCAAAAUAUUCAGAACUACUUUAAAUACAAUAACACAAUUGAAGCAUUCUCAUAUAAUGUAACUGACCAUGACUGCUAUAAGGUUUUGUGUUGUGACCUGAUGUAAAACUUGACUUUCCUUUUCCUGGCUGAGUAUCCAAGCUGUGUGAACCAGGAUCUUGGCUAUAAGCAUCCUUAGCAAUGGUUUUCUCUGAUGAUUCGCUUUCUGCUUCGAAUUCUGGUUCUGGGUUGUUUGGUGCCUCAGCAAAUUGCUUUCUCUUUGAUCUGGCUCUCCUGUUCUGAAACCAAUUAUAUACAUUUGUUUCAGAAAUGGGACCAUGUUGUGAUAGCUCGGCAGUUAACUCUUUUAUCUUCUGCUUGCUAGGAGUUCCAAUGCCUUCCUCAAACACGCGCUCAAGUUUUUGAAGUUGCACUGGUGUUGGAGUCCAUCUGUGCCUUGUCGUGAUCUUGCUG
rnacentral:lncRNA from 1 species